UACGAAGGGGGCUAGCGUUGCUCGGAAUCACUGGGCGUAAAGGGUGCGUAGGCGGGUCUUUAAGUCAGGGGUGAAAUCCUGGAGCUCAACUCCAGAACUGCCUUUGAUACUGACAAUCUCGAGUCCGAUAGAGGUGGGUGGAAUUCCUAGUGUAGAGGUGAAAUUCGUAGAUAUUAGGAAGAACACCGGUGGCGAAGGCGGCCCACUGGAUCGGUACUGACGCUGAGGUGCGAAAGCGUGGGGAGCAAACAGG
rnacentral:rRNA from 1 species